AACUGAUAAAACGAAAAGUAGAAUGAGUGGGUAACGCCACGAAAUGCUUUCCAUAAGAACUGCGACAUGCAUAAUGAUAGUAAUAGAUAUUAGUAUGUAUGGGAACUCGCUGAAGUCGACUGAAGUAUACCCUAAUGAGUAAUCAAGGAAAUGGUUAUAGAGGUAUAAUCUGUAUAUGAUAGGUCGGUGGUCUAUAAA
rnacentral:ncRNA from 1 species